UACAGAGGGGGCAAGCGUUGUUCGGAAUUACUGGGCGUAAAGGGCGCGUAGGCGGCCUUCUAAGUCGAACGUGAAAUCCCUGGGCUCAACCCAGGAACUGCGUCCGAUACUGGGAGGCUUGAAUCCGGGAGAGGGAUGUGGAAUUCCAGGUGUAGCGGUGAAAUGCGUAGAUAUCUGGAGGAACACCGGUGGCGAAGGCGGCAUCCUGGACCGGUAUUGACGCUGAUGCGCGAAAGCCAGGGGAGCAAACGGGG
rnacentral:rRNA from 1 species